CAAGUAGACUGUUUUGGGGCAGAAUGCAGGCUGCCUAGAUCGUGCAGUUUUUCAGGGCAUUAAUGAGGUUUUUGUAAGUCCCGACCCAGCCAUUUUGAGAGGAAAAAUACAUGGACCUGCAGCCUGAUAUUUUGAGGAUGCAAGUGGACAACUUGCACAACUUGUCCACUUGUGGGCCACUUGCAAGCUAAGCGCGAGUUGUAUGCAAGCUAAGCACGAGUUGGCAAAGAUAUUAUCAACAUGCAAGCUAGGUGCGAGUUGUAUGCAAGCUAGGCGCGAGUUGGCGACAACUUGCA
rnacentral:lncRNA from 1 species